CCCUUAGAUGUUCUGGGCCGCACGCGCGCUACACUGAGUGGAUCAGCGGGUCAGGUUGCGCGAAAGUGUUUCCUAAUCUUGAAAUCCGCUCGUGAUGGGGAUUGGCGGUUGCAAUUUUCCGUCAUGAACGAGGAAUACCUUGUAAGCGCGGGUCAUCAUCCCGCGCUGAAUACGUCCCUGCCCUUUGUACACACCGCCCGUCGCUCCUACCGAUUGAGUGGUCCGGUGAGGCUUUGGGAUCUGAGCAAAGAGAGCGUUUCGCUCGUUUUGCCCGGAAAACUCAGUCGAACCUUAUCAUUUAGAGGAAGGAGAAGUCGUAACA
rnacentral:rRNA from 1 species